GAUGAAGAACGCAGCGAAGUGCGAUAAGUAGUGUGAAUUGCAGAAUUUCGUGAAUCAUCGAAUCUUUGAACGCAAAUUGCACUCUCCGGUUUUCCGGGAGAGUAUGCCUGUUUGAGGGUCAGCCUAAAUAAAUUCGGCUUCGUUGCUGUGUUUUCGCGGUAACGUUUUAGUCGGAAUUUGGGUCAUCUUAAACCGAAAUUCGGUCUUAAGCGACUUAAAAUUUUUUUUUUACGAUCCCACGAACGUUUCUAAGAUCUUCUUACACGUUCAGGGUGUCGAAUACUCUAUUAGUCGUGACCGUCGUAUCGGAUCGCGUCCAUAAUAUUCAUUCUUUAACUGACCUCAGACAGGUAAGAGUACCCGCUGAACUUAAGCAUAUCAAUAAGCGGAGGA
rnacentral:misc_RNA from 1 species